rnacentral:rRNA from 1 species
GACGAACGCUGGCGGCGUGCUUAACACAUGCAAGUCGAACGCUGAAGCUUGGUGCUUGCACUGGGUGAAUGAGUGGCGAACGGGUGAGUAAUAAGUGAGUAACCUGCCCUUGACUCUGGGAUAAGCCUGGGAAACUGGGUCUAAUACUGGAUACGACAUGUCACCGCAUGGUGGUGUGUGGAAAGGGUUUUACUGGUUUUGGAUGGGCUCACGGCCUAUCAGCUUGUUGGUGGGGUAAUGGCUCACCAAGGCGACGACGGGUAGCCGGCCUGAGAGGGUGACCGGCCACACUGGGACUGAGACACGGCCCAGACUCCUACGGGAGGCAGCAGUGGGGAAUAUUGCACAAUGGGCGGAAGCCUGAUGCAGCGACGCCGCGUGAGGGAUGACGGCCUUCGGGUUGUAAACCUCUUUCAGCACGGAAGAAGCGAAAGUGACGGUACGUGCAGAAGAAGCGCCGGCUAACUACGUG